rnacentral:rRNA from 1 species
GAUGAACGCUAGCGACAGGCUUAACACAUGCAAGUCGAGGGGCAGCAUAAAAGUAGCAAUACUUUGGUGGCGACCGGCGCACGGGUGAGUAACGCGUAUGCAACCUACCUAUCAGAGGGGGAUAACCCGGCGAAAGUCGGACUAAUACCGCAUAAAACAGGGGCACCGCAUGGUGAUAUUUGUUAAAAAUUUAUUGCUGAUAGAUGGGCAUGCGUUCCAUUAGGUAGUUGGAGAGGUAACGGCUCACCAAGCCUACGAUGGAUAGGGGAACUGAGAGGUUGGUCCCCCACACUGGUACUGAGACACGGACCAGACUCCUACGGGAGGCAGCAGUGAGGAAUAUUGGUCAAUGGGCGAGAGCCUGAACCAGCCAAGUCGCGUGAAGGAAGAAGGAUCUAUGGUUCGUAAACUUCUUUUGCAGGGGAAUAAAGUGCAGGACGUGUCCUGUUUUGUAUGUACCCUGAGAAUAAGGAUCGGCUAACUACGUGCCAGCAGCCGCGGU